AAAUCUCAUACUCUGUCAAAACCAGAUUUCAGUGAUGCCAGGCACUUAAAACACUUUAUCAGUCUAACUUGAACAGAUACUUUGAUAUGGCUAGCUACAGUUCUAAAACACGUUAUGUACAUUUUUGCAUAGAGGUUAUGAUAUGCAUGAAUCUUUAAAAUAUGUGUCUUUAUUCUCCCUUAUAUUUGCACCCAAUACUUAGUCUUGUUUCUCAUUUUGACAUGCUACAGAUUUAAGCUGGUGGCUUUUGUUUCACUCCUGCUUGCUUGACACAACCAGAAAGAAAGUACUCACGAGAGAGUGUUCUGCGUGAGGAAAGAGAUCAGUGAUGACAAAAAAUUAUCUAGAGCUGCAAUAGUAAAGAAAAUUUCAGUUUUGUAGAAAACAGCCAAAUACUCCCAUCAUCGUUCAUCACCUUGCUACCUUAAAAAGGAUUUCAGACAUGAUAAGGAGGUAAAAUUUCCUAAUUGCUUCCCAUAUUACUCAUAGGAAGGCUUUAGGCUGUCAAGAAUCAGGAUUUACUGGAUUGGAGCUUCUGCAACAGUUCCCAGUAAUAAUCUUUAGAAAGGUUCAACUUUGCAGCAACAAGGGAAGGUAGCUGAAUAGAGAACAUGGUCAAAAGAAACCUAUUCAAGUCCAUUGGCAGGAAUAAUGUAAGUAAAGUAAUUACUAGCCACUUUAUUCUUAAGUUUUAAUUACAGCAACCC